AUUUACUUUUACAUUAGUAAACAACUUUAAAUGAACAUUUAGUUCCCGUUGAUCCACCCAAUGCAACAACGUAUCAAUAACUUCUACCAUGGACUCCAUUUUUCUUUUCGACAUCUUUUAUUUACUUCUCUCAAUAAACAAACUUCAAUUAACAGAUUAAUCCAAAAUAGCAAAACUUUUAAACACAUAAAUCAAAAUAGUAAGAAACUUACAAAUAAAACAAAUUCUCUCUUUUUUUUUUUUAAAUACAAGUGUUGUAUCCACAGAACCAUCAUAGUUUUCACACAAACAAGUCACCCGGGUAGCCGUCAUCAACAACACUCAAGAGCGAGAGAGAGAGAGAGUCUCGCGCUGUCUCAC
rnacentral:lncRNA from 1 species